UGGGGAAUAUUGCACAAUGGGCGAAAGCCUGAUGCAGCGACGCCGCGUGCGGGAUGAAGGCCUUCGGGUUGUAAACCGCUUUUGAUUGGGAGCAAGCGAGAGUGAGUGUACCUUUCGAAUAAGCACCGGCUAACUACGUGCCAGCAGCCGCGGUAAUACGUAGGGUGCAAGCGUUAUCCGGAAUUAUUGGGCGUAAAGAGCUCGUAGGCGGUUUGUCGCGUCUGGUGUGAAAGUCCAUCG
rnacentral:rRNA from 1 species